CCUACGGGAGGCUGCAGUGAGGAAUAUUGGUCAAUGGGCGGAAGCCUGAACCAGCCAAGUCGCGUGAGGGAAUAAGGCCCUACGGGUCGUAAACCUCUUUUGCCGGGGAGCAAGGGCUGGGACGUUUCCCGUACCGGAGAGUACCCGGAGAAAAAGCAUCGGCGAACCCCGUUCCAGCAGCAGCGGUAAUACGGAGGAGGCGAGCUUUAUCGGGAUUUAUUGGGUUUAAUGGGUGCGUAGUCGGGUUUUUAAGUCAGCGGUAAAAAUUUGGUGCUAACCCUCGUCCGGCUGUUGAAACUGGGAGCCUUGAGUGGGCGAGAGGUAGGCGGAAUGCGUGGUGUAGCGGUGAAAUGCUUAGAUAUCACGAAGAACCCCGAUUGCGAAGGCAGCUUUCCGGCGCCCUACUGACACUGAGGCACGAAAGUGCGGGGAUCGAACAGGAUUAGAUACCCCAGUAGUC
rnacentral:rRNA from 1 species